AUUGAACGCUGGCGGCAGGCCUAACACAUGCAAGUCGAACGAGUGGCGGACGGGUGAGUAAUGUCUGGGACACUGCCUGAUGGAGGGGGAUAACUACUGGAAACGUUAGCUAAUACCGCAUACCAUCAGAUGUUCCCAGAGUGGAGUAGCUUGUUGGUGGGGUAAUGGCUCACCAAGGCGACGAUCCCUAGCUGGUCUGAGAGGAUGACCAGCCACACUGGAACUGGGACACGGUCCAGACUCCUACGGGAAGCAGCAGUAGGGAAUAUUGCACAAUGAGCGCAAGCCUGAUGCAGCCAUGCCGCGUGUAUGAAGAAGGCAUUCGGGUUGUAAAGUACUUUCAGCGGGGAGGCGUUACCCGCAGAAGAAGCAACGGCUAACUCCGUGCCAGCAGCCGCGGUAAUUC
rnacentral:rRNA from 1 species